UAAAGGAUGAAUCUGUCACCACUGUCUUCUAAUUCCUUGCUAGCUGUUCUUACCCAUGCACCUAACCCAUUUCUUCUCCUGUUUAUCAAACGUGCUUUGAUUCUUUUCACCUGUGAUACCAUCACGUUAGUUUCUGACUUUGAUCACUGCGUUGCAUCUUUGUGGCUAGGCCUUUGCAUGUGAAUAUCUGAGUGUGGAUAUAUGUGCUUAGCUUAGUGUACAGAUCUCUGAGUAUCAAAUUUAUGAGUUCAUUAUUCAGAUUUUCAGUAUUCAAGAGAGACAUUAACUUACAUUAAUUAAGGUUUUACCAUUAGUAAGCCCACUGGCAGCCCUCAAUUAAAUGUACUCAUUCUUGUACAGGUGAAUUGCAUCUAGUAUGUCCUAGGUACUGUUUCAGGCAUUGUAAGUAUAGUGGUAUGGAAGAGUGAGGUCCCUGUGCUCAUAGUGUUUACAUUGUGAUGGUGGGUGAUUGACAGUGGGAAAAAAAAGUACAUAGUCAUGAUAAUUUCACAUAGGGAAAUGUCUUGCAAACAAAAUAAGAUAGGGUGAUGUUUGAGCUGAGAGCUGAAUUUGAUGGAAGAGCCAGUCACAGAAAGCUCUAGAAGCAGAGGAACAACUGUGGUAAAAGGUCAAAAGUGAAGAGUGAAGCUGGAAUUUGUCCUUGAGGAACAGAGGGAAGGUUAGUGUGGCAGGCACAUAGUAGGAAAGGGCAAAUGUAGUAUAAGAUAAGGCUGGGCAGGGAUAGUUCACGUAAGAGCUGAGAUUCUGUGUUAUGUAAGAAGUCAUUGGAGCGUUUUAAGCAGGGGAAUUACUUUAUUGUAAGAAGCAUUACUUGCUAGAACUGUGUUAGAAUUCAGCAAGAACUGAGUAAAGAGGAUGAAGAAAAUUGCAGAUUUUCAUUCUAAAAGGGCCAUGUCAGUAUUUCCUGUUUGACUUUAAACUCCUAAUUUAACGUUUUGAAGGGUAAAAACCUCAUAGAAGUGUUUAAAAUUUAGAGAUUUUUGUUACAAUAAAUUGAAAUUGAUUUAAAAUAAAACCAUAAAAGCACGUGGGUAGAUAAUAAUAAACUUUUAAUUUUCAUGUUUUAUUUCUUAGGCGCCCAGUCAAUACUUGUUCGUUCAUUAAUAUUUAUUGAGCACCAACUGCGUGCAAGCACGCUUCCUGGGCUGUUACAGUCAAUGGACUUGUCAACACUGAAAUGUUACCUUCCUGGCCAACCAGAAAAAUUUUCUGCAUUUUUGGAUAAAGUUGUUGGAUUACAAAAAUGAACACUAAAUUCUCAGUCCUUUAAAAACAC